GUCCACGCCCUAAACGAUGUCGACUGGUUGUUGGGGGUUUGACACUCUCAGUAACGAAGCUAACGCGUGAAGUCGACCGCCUGGGGAGUACGGCCGCAAGGUUAAAACUCAAAGGAAUUGACGGGGACCCGCACAAGCGGUGGAUUAUGUGGAUUAAUUCGAUGCAACGCGAAAAACCUUACCUACCCUUGACAUGUCCGAGAGCCCGAAGAGAUUCGGGUGUGCCCGAAAGGGAAUCGGAACACAGGUGCUGCAUGGCUGUCGU
rnacentral:rRNA from 1 species